AUGGUUGGAAAAACACCCGCUGGAGAAGUUCUAUACAGAAGUGUUAGAGUUGGAGAUCUAAGUAUUGCUGUUGGUGGGGCAGUCACAUUGGAAGGUGAUUCUGGAGAAGCCAUUAUGUGUUUUGUUGAGUAUAUAUAUGAGACACAUGAUGGCACACAAAUGAUUCAUGGAAGAGUUCUGCAAAAUGGUUCACACACUAUCCUCGGGAACGCUGCAAACGAAAGAGAGGUGUUGUUUACUAAUGACUGUUUACCAUUCAAAGUAGGUGACAUGAGAGAAUCAGUUACUAUCAACUUCCAGAUAAUUCCCUGGGGUCACCAGUGUAGAAGAGACCAGUUGGAAGCUAUUACGGCGGAGAAGGCGAACACUGAGGAUAGGAAGAAGAAAGGUUUGCGGGUGGAGUACAUCUGCAAAAUCCUAUACUGUCGUGAGAAAGGUGGCUUUUUCUCCACCCCUUAUGAGAAAAUGGGUAAUGGAACCGGCACUUGUAGUUCCUAUGAGGAGCGAGUAGCGGUUGGUGAAGAAUUCAAAAUACUGUCAGAGACCAGUUUUGUCCUAAAAAAUGUCACAUACAAUGUUCAUGACUUCCUGUAUAUCAAGCCCGAGUUUUUCCCUCGAGUCGAGGGCCGUGAGACCUACCGGGCUGGAAGAAAUGUGGGCCUGAAGCCCUAUGUGGUAUGUCGUUUGCAGAGUGUCAAUGCUGCUGCUGGAUCUCAUAAAGCUAAUCCAAAUCAACAAAAGUCAGUGUAA
rnacentral:rRNA from 1 species